rnacentral:rRNA from 1 species
AGCGGUUAGUGGCGGACUGGUGAGUAACACGUAAGCAACCUGCCUAUUAGAGGGGAAUAACAGUGAGAAAUCAUUGCUAAUACCGCAUAUGCUCACAGCAACACAUGUUGCAGUGAGGAAAGGAGCAAUCCGCUAAUAGAUGGGCUUGCGUCUGAUUAGCUAGUUGGUGGGGUAACGGCCUACCAAGGCGACGAUCAGUAGCCGGACUGAGAGGUUGAACGGCCACAUUGGGACUGAGAUACGGCCCAGACUCCUACGGGAGGCAGCAGUCGGAAUAUUGCGCAAUGGAGGAAACUCUGACGCAGUGACGCCGCGUAUAGGAAGUAAGGUUUUCGGAUUGUAAACUAUUGUCAUUAGGGAAGAUAAAAGACUGUACCUAAGGAGGAAGCCCCGGCUAACUAUGUG